AUGAAGUUGCCUGUCCUGCUGUUGGUGCUGCAGUUGUUCAGGAUUCCUGCUUCCAGAGGGGAUGUUGUGAUGACCCAAACUCCAUCCUCCUUGCCUGUCAGUCUUGGAGAUGAAGCCUCCAUCUCUUGCAAGUCUAGUCAGAGCCUCGAAGAUAGUGAUGGAGAAACCUUUUUGGAAUGGUACUUGCAGAAGCCAGGCAAGUCUCCACAGCUCCUCAUCUAUGAGAUUUCCAACCGAUUUUCUGGGGUCCCAGACAGGUUCAUUGGCAGUGGGUCACACACAGAAUUCACACUCAAGAUCAGCAGAGUGGAGCCUGAGGAUUUGGGAGUUUAUUACUGCUUUCAAGAUUCACAUGCUCCUCCCACAGUGAUUCAGACCCUAACAAAAACACCCUUACUUGGCGUGGUCCAGUUGCCAAAUAUGUUACUUAUCUCUGAGACAAAGGGAGGUGCUGAGGAAGUACAGAUUAUUGGUUGCAGCUGA